UACAGAGGUCUCAAGCGUUGUUCGGAUUCAUUGGGCGUAAAGGGCGCGUAGGCGGCACAGCAAGUCGGGAGUGAAAGCCCGGGGCUCAACCCCGGAAUGGCUUUCGAAACUGCUGAGCUAGAGUACAGAAGGGGCAACCGGAAUUCCCAGUGUAGCGGUGAAAUGCGUAGAUAUUGGGAAGAACACCUGAGGCGAAGGCGGGUUGCUGGGCUGAUACUGACGCUGAGGCGCGAAAGCCAGGGGAGCAAACGGG
rnacentral:rRNA from 1 species